AGGGGCGAAGCCGCCCCGGCGCGGGGAAGGUCGGGGCAGCACCUGGAGCCGGCACGGAGGAAGGAGCGGCGGCCCCCGCCGGGCUGUGGGCCGGAGGAGCGGCGGGAAGGCGGCCGGGGGCCGCGGGAGGAGUGACCCGGCCGAGCUGCGGAGGCCAUUUCCCGGCGGGAAAACACGCCCGUGGGUGCAUGUGUCCCAGCCUUCACUGAAGCAGACCAGAGUCUAAAUCUUCAUACUUCGUACAAUUUCAAUCCAGUCUGUUGUCAGCUGUUAUGUGGGAAUCUCUUCGUGGCAAAAUGUUGAUUUAAUGAAUUUUGAGCAAGAGAAACACAACAUCAAAAGCCAAGACACACAUGGAAUAAGUGACUGGAAAUGAGAGCGCUUCAUCUAAGGGGAAAAAAAAAGAACCAGGACAAAUAUUUAUCUACCGUUUUGUUAAAGGAUUCCUUUUCUUCUCAGACAUGAAGAAAUCUGUAAGACAAACAUGCUAGCAGCUACUUUCUGUGUUAGCUCCUUUUCGUGCUCAGUAUGUCAAGGAAAGAAAAAAAAGAUUUAUGACUCAUUGUUUUCCAAGGAUGCUGCUUCCUCUGCAGAUAUUUACAGAAACAUGGCUGUUGGUCUUGAAGAGCUCUAGAGUCUUCUUGGGAGCAGGAACCUCACAUUUUGUACCAAAAUAGCCUAAAAACAGCCUCAGGGUCAUACUGUCACUUUAAAAAAUAACACAUCGAACAUUUAACACCUGGUUUCAUAGCUGAAACUUGCAGCAUGUUUUGAAGGCAGCCAAGAAGGAAAUUUAAUGGCUCUCCUGGAAGUCGUUCAAAAACCGCUCCCAUUGACUGCAUCGGACAUUAUAUAAGGCCCCAAAAACAAUUUCCAGGGAGGUAUAAGUUGCAGGUCUAGGCUGCAGGCAUCACAUCUGGACCAAGAGGAAGAAAAGACUCUCAUGUGUGGGCUGCUGUUAAGUAUCAGUGCAAAAACAAGACGAGAAAGAGGCAAGGGUUGGGAUAGUAACUGCUAGCAGACAGCUGGGAUCAGCUGAAGUAAGGAAACCGUGAAAAAGGAACUGCAGCAUCAAAGCAUCAUUUUUCACUUUGUAAAUUCAGCUCAAGUAUGUCUAUAGUGUCAUUUGUCCUGAAGAUUUGGAUUCCUGUGCGGCAUCAGAGUGCUAACGUCUCUAGCGGAGGGAUCUGUCACUGAACUGCCGGCAUCUCUAGGGUGUAAAACAACAACAGCUUGAUAGCACACAACAGCAGUUCAGGAAAGCGUAAGAAAGAAGUUUCCGUAAAAUAACAGAGCAGUUGGGAAGGACUGUAGGAAGGGUGUUCAAACAGACCACAGCGUAACAGGCCAAGCAAGCUGCAUCUUGAUCAUGUUCUUGCCUUUAAGAUACACGAUUCUGAAAAAAAAAUUGCCGUGAAGCAUUAUCAGUACUGCGCUGGGCUGAACACAGAAGCUUUGCAGAUCUUUAUAGCUAUCACCUGGUGACAGGAAGCUGUCAAAUGAGAAAUGCGGUAGUGGUUACAGUAGACACUGAAGAGGAGCAGUGAAAAUGAAGAGCAUUUUCAUGAAAGGAAAGACCCACACCCCCUUUCAUAAUAAGUAAAUCUUUUGAGUAUGGCCCACACAUGGUUCGGAGGCAGCUGCUUUGCUGAUUACUGCAAGCCAAAAUGUUAUAUCAGUACACACCUACUUAACAAUACCAGUUGGGUUAAUUAAGAGAAGGUUACGUUUUGGUUCAUAUGCCUUUUGAAAAGUGGAAUAAACAACAAUCUUUAUUCCCUUGGGAGAAAAAAAAGCGCAGAUUCUGCCAGCUGGUUUGUAAUACGAGAGUGCUUUACAUGGUGUAUUUUCACAGCUGUCUUAUCAGUUUCCUAAAAUGAAUCAGGGUGGAGCAAACAGUUUAGGAAUGUCAUGAAAAAAGGAUUUGGAGCUUUGCUGUGGUUCGUGAUAAUGAUGCCCUCUUGGGAUAGUGUAUCAGAGUUGGAAGAUCCUCCUGGAGAUAGGAACAAUGCUUUUAAAAUAUUCUCACGCAAAAUUCAGCAGCUAUUGUGUCUAAGCUCUGGAUGGAGACAUCCUCUCCAUUCUUUAUGGUGGUCUGACUUGGAGCAAUUUUUGGACGGGAGGCAUUUCCACAUCUCCUGCUGUGAGGUUCACUUCUGCAAAACAUGGCAGUUUCUGUCACUGUAACUCAUUUCAGUGGGAGCUGAGGGAUCUCGAAACUUUGUGGACCUGGGUGCUUGCUAGAUCUUAGCUCCAUCUAAACCAACCGCUAAAGGUCAGGUCUCUCCCCCGCUGAAGACGGUGGGACAACCCUGACUGAUUCCAGUGGGUUCAGUAGCGUAAACUGAAAACCAGAAAUACGGGGAAGGAAGCGUUUCAGUGCUGUUAUGUCCAGAAAAAGUUACUGUGCCGUUUCCCCUUCAUCAGUGUUGCUGUUCAGUUAACAAAAUACCCGCUCAUACAGCGCUUUGGAUUUUGGUGUAGGCAAGCAAUAUAAAAAAAAUCUAUACUGAUUUACUGUGCGAGUUGCACAGGAGACAUGCUCUGCUGGAAAAGAAUCUGACAUGUUCUGUUAGCACUGCGAGGGGUUAAUGCAAUACAUCGGACUAUUUUAGCAGUUUCACUAAAUAGCAUUUAUUCCAUCACCGCUAAGAGUUAGUGUAUUUGACAGAAACAAAUGGAGUGAACCAAAGCUUUUUCCUUUCAUAAAAAUGACUAAAACUGUAGUCUUUAAAAUACAGCAUAUUAAAUCAACUCAUCAAACUUCUGACAGUUUUACUUUAAGUAGUCUUACUUAUUUUGUUGGCUUGUGAAAUACUUAUCACUGCUUUAGAACUGGUAUUUUUCUGAAGAUUCCCCAAGUCUGAUUGUGAAGGUGAGCGAUGUUAUCUUCCUUACAGAUACCUCAGGUGUCUGCUGCAAAUUGUUUCAAUGACCUACCAACGCAUGCGGAAAAGAACAUAUAUGAUUUACAUCAACUUUAUAGUGUCCUGAGUUAAAUGUUUUAAUGAUAAGAUUCAUGAUCAUCUGGGAGAAAUUUUUAGAGUUUAUUUUCCAUAUACCUGAAAAGCUUAAGACAUGCUGAUCUAGAAAAAUCGUAAUUUGCAGCAGGCCUUGUGUCUGUCUUCAUCCUGUGUGCAAAAUGCUGCUGCUCCGAUUCAUAAGUUGCAUCUGUUUUUGUAGGCCUGCUAUGAAUUUCACAAGGAAUCUCCAAGUCAUUACCCCAGUGCCCAAAAUGGGGCCCAACUGUAUCUCUUUUAUUUAUGACAAAUGCUUACUGUUCUUGCAGGUCUCCAUGGAUGGCGGCAUCACAGUCUUUAAACGUAGUCUAUUUCAAUGCUUAACCAUCCUUGCAAUUAGAAAAUUAGUCCUAAUUUCCAAUCAGAAUUAUCCUUGCUGCAUUUUGAGCCCUUGUCCUGUUCACUGCAGUCACGGAGAACAAACGGUUCUUUGCGUCUCCUAUUGACCUCAUGCAUACAUGAAGGUUGUCGUCGUCUUUUCUUUAGGCUAAACAUGCUAAUUUGCUCAUUCUCUCAGGGGAUAAGAGGAUAGGCGGGACAGGCAGAAAAUAACACAGAAACUGGUUGUCUUUUUCUGGCACUUCAGUUUGGACAAGAUUUAUUAGUAGAAGUAACGUCUUCUGAUUGGAGUAAUUAGAACUGUGAGGCAAGUUUUUGGAGUGCACAACCCCUUUAACAGCAAACUUUGAACUCUGCAGAAGUAGCAAAAGUCUAAAAAAAACCAAAAAACCCAAACACCAAACAGAAAAGCUUUUCUAAUUUUUCCAACUGUACUAGUUGGUCUGCCAAUGAGUCUUGUCCUGCCUGUGUCUUGAGACCAUCACAGCAAAGUACCAGUCCAUAUAUAGUAUCCUUCUAGAACACUGGAACAUAAAUUACAAAGGAUGAUGUGCUGGAAUUUUAAUUAAUGGAUGCAGACAAACUGGAAAUGCAGUUUUAGCUGCUCUCAGUGUAUCUCUAUCUCUAUUCAGGACCAUAAACAGCACAUGUAAUCCAAAAUUGUUACAGUAGCCACUGAACCCGGCCUAUAAAUAGCUGUAGAAAACGGUGUGAAGCUUUUCCUACCCCAAAUGAACAUUUGUCUGAUUGCCACCUGCAGUCAUUAACAGUGAUCUUGUGAACUCUAAAAACUGAGCUAAGGUGGUCCUGGCGUAAUUGAAUGGGGAAAUACCAAAAGCUGGUAUCCUGGUUUGGUCUAGCAUAUAUAUAAAUGCUGGUAUCUUUUGUCUACAAAGAGUAUGCUAAUUCUGUAACAUUAACAAAGCGGAAGGUACAAUUAUGAAGAUUUUUGUUUACAACUGAGUGCUGUUUGCUCACUGAUAGGUGUACCCCAGCGUGCCAGAGGUGCGUUAUUGCAGUCAAGAUGUUAUCUUGAUCACAUGCAAUCAUGAAAGCUCCUGUAGUGCCUCUCGAGGAAAAUGGUGAGAUUGGUAUUGUUGCCAAAUUAUAAGCUGCUUAAAUAUGUCCUCUCUUUCAAAAUUGCAGUUAGAGUUUGACGUACAACGUUGUUCUUUUAAUAAUGGGUGUUUUCUGUUAGACAGAAUUCUGGACUGAGGCAUCUGCAUUUGGUUGGUGGAUUAAGAAAAUCUCACUCAGCUACCUAUUUUCAAAAAGAAAACCUGAGAAAGCAUCAGGCAGUGUUUGAAAAGUUUUAGGGUAGGAGGAAACACUGGCUAGACAGGGGACAUGAUCAUCCUACGUAAAAGCACUCUUUGCUCGCUGCUACCAAAGCAACGUCUAACAUCUUGUCUAACACCCUUCUUUCACAAUGUCAUUUGUUGCGCUAUUGUUCUCGCUGAAAAUUUCUUGAGGACCGUGGGCAAGACCUUCCGCGAAGGGUCUCUGAUCACACAGAAUUAAAUCCUUCUGGAGGUCAGUAGUCUCCCGUUCUGACAGACCUCUGGUGCACGGCACAAGGCUCAUCAUCUCUUGGCCAAACACCUUUUCACUUCAUCUAAGGCUGUGGCUUUUUUCCUGCACUUCCAUCUGCUGCAGGAGGGAAACGGGAACGGCUGUGAGUUGCUUCGUUACAGGCAGGACCGUUUGAUGUAGGUUUGGUAUGCUGUGGUAUGUGUCACCAGCUCUUUGUUUCUAUGUAGCCUUUAACACUCUUUUUCUCAGUGUCGAAGGGAGUUUUGGGGUUUGGUUAUACAUAUUUCUGAGGAGACGGAGCUCUGCAAGCAGAAAAAGUUUUAUGUCUGUUGGCUUCUAUUAUUGAAAGAACUACAACCUGGGUAUUAAUCCUGCAAUUCCCAAAAUGCAGUUCCUUUCACGUUGCCUGGUCAUCUCACUCCAAAACAGGUGUAUACAGGAAAAUAAAGCUAUUUUUACUCAUCCUGUUACUCUUUUUUCCUUCUCUGAAGCUCUGUUAGCAAGCCCCAGUUUCAGCCAUUGCUCGGAUGAAGGGUAAUGCUGGUGUUAAAAUGCAACGCUGGUGGCAGAAGAAGGGUUAUAAAGCACGCAUUUAUUUAGCUUUAGACAAACUAGAGUCAGUUAUCCACAGCUCAAGGUGCUCUUGCCAAAAAUUGCAAAAAUUAAAAUUAAACAGCCAGCGAAACGAAAAUCUCCCUUUCCUUCUGCAAAAAAACAAAUCUAUUUCAAAACUCCCCAGGCUACACAAAUAGAUAUGCCUUUCAUUAGUUACUGAAGGGAUGGCAGACCCUGUGUUCUUUUAGACUGCUGAAGUGUGAAGAAAAGUAGUAUCUCACAGUUACAGGGUUAUACGAGAAUAUUUUCUCCACAGGCAUAUAUUUCUUAGAUAACAAACAUUGUAAGCAAUAUUUAUUUUUCAGAUGGUCAUACUUAAUAGAAUCCAUCUAGGAGAGGAUCCGAUGGUAUACAUGAUUUAAAAGACCGAGUGUUUUCAUAUCUUCCUGUAGGCAUUCUGGCUAUUUAAGAGACAACAUCUUGUUUAUUACAGCCAAAUUUUUUCUUUGCUGUUGUGCAAACUUCAUGUCAGCUUGCACCACAAACGUACAAAACAUAAAGAGUUGAUUGAGGUUUUCUGUGAAAUUUUUGGCUCCCUAGUUCACCAAAGAGUUGUUUGAACGAGUGGUUAUAACGCUAAGGGGCUAGAUGUAAUACGGUGUGGAUGUGACCAAAAUGGAACUUGCAUUGGAUUUCUGGACCAAAGUCAGGAAUGGUGAUCCUGAAAACUCGCCCCUCACCCCUUAGCUAAUCUUUGAAGACUUUAAACGCUAUAGGUGAUUUGUGUUGAUACUCUUGAAAUACCUAUAGUUUUGCUUCUGCAUAGGCACAGACCAACCCAGUCUUAUGGGUCUGGGCAGUUUGGUGCUUUAUUUAUACCAAAACCUGAACAGCCAGGAUCCAGGAACUAAGCGUGCCUGCGUGUCCCAAAAGGCAUUUUCAGAGCAAACUCCCUAUGUUCCAGCAGGGUCUGGCUCCUUGCAAAACACAAGGGAGGCUGUCAUCGGUGGAGAACAAGGAUGCUUUCUUUUCAGUCCUCUCCUCUGCCUCAGGGACUUCAAACCCAAGUAUUGACUUGAAGAAGUUCCUUGCCUACUUGUGUUGUCACUCGGAAGGCACCCAGCUUAUACUGGUACGGAGUACACAGGGUCUGCGUGUGUAGCCUAAGUCCUUAGGAGGUCCUAAAGCCAUGAAUGUUGUCGGCUGCCACAGGACUUGGGGAACCUUUCUACACGGCUGCCUGUGCUGAAGCAUCCACUUCUGGCCAUGGCCAAACAGGGGGGUGGGAAACGGACCCUGCGCGAUUGCUCUGGUGUUCUCACACGUGACUAGCACCAGUUCUGGAUUGGACACAAAUAACUAAAUAUUUAGACACUGUGGCUCCUCUCUUCCCAUUUGGAAGCCGGUCUUUUGCCGUUAUCUCAUUCCCUCUGACUUCUCAGCUCUGUACUGGAAGCAUCCGAUCCUCCCUCUUUCACAAACCUAUGUCUUGAAAUCUGUUUUCUUAGGAAUGAUAUGGGUACAUAUAUAAAACAGUUGACAUCAGUUCUGAGAAUGUUUUCUUGUAGGUGGAACUGUUAUUCCUCCUUGGUACUGUAACUGUGCACAGAGUCAGUGAUUUGCUAUGCUAAUAAGUUGCUGAAGGAAAAAUGGGAAUUAUUCUGUCUAUGUGUUCCCCUCUAGUAUAUGUGGUUUAAAAAGACUAAAGGGCAACAAAAGAUAAGCAAUUACAGAAAGCACUUCUGCUGGAAGUAAUGAAAGAGACAGGAGGCUACAGAUUUAGAUGAAAAUAUUUCUGGAAGA